UACGGAGGGUGCGAGCGUUGUCCGGAAUCAUUGGGCGUAAAGGGCGCGUAGGUGGCCCGGUCAGCGUGCGGUGAAAGCUCGGGGCUCAACCCCGAGUCGGCCGUGCGAACUGCUGGGCUUGAGCACUGUAGAGGCAGGCGGAAUUCCGGGUGUAGCGGUGGAAUGCGUAGAGAUCCGGAAGAACACCGGUGGCGAAGGCGGCCUGCUGGGCAGUGGCUGACACUGAGGCGCGACAGCGUGGGGAGCAAACGGG
rnacentral:rRNA from 1 species